CAAGCGAGCUUUAGCCGGGUCUUUUCUCCUCUGAUUCUUCAAGCACUCCGAUACAAUGGCUUCCACACCAUCUCCAGAUUCUUCGAUUUCCCCGGACAGCGCUAUUUCAGGAAUCAGCAGCCCAUUUGGUGGUUCAGAGAUGUCCACGUGUAAGCUUUUGUCUAUAUUCAUAUAAGCUCUUUUGUACUUGCUGAAAUAUCACUUUACAACG